rnacentral:rRNA from 1 species
CCUACGGGUGGCAGCAGUGGGGGAUAUUGCACAAUGGGGGAAACCCUGAUGCAGCGAUGCCGCGUGAGUGAAGAAGUAUUUCGGUAUGUAAAGUACUAUCAGCAGGGAAGAAAAAAGACGGUAUCUGACUAAGAAUCACCGGCUAACUACGUGCCAGCAGCCGCGGUAAUACGGAGGGGGCAAGCGUUAUCCGGAUUUACUGGGUGUAAAGGGAGCGUAGUCGGCAGGGGAAGUCUGGAGUGAAAGGCGGGGGCUCAACCCCCGGACUGCUCUGGAAACUGUACGGCUGGAGUGCAGGAGAGGUAAGUGGAAUUCCUAGUGUAGCGGUGAAAUGCGUAGAGAUUAGGAGGAACACCAGUGGCGAAGGCGGCUUACUGGACUGUAACUGACGUUGAGGCGCGAAAGCGUGGGGAGCAAACAGGAUUAGAUACCCGGGUAGUC